ACACAUUUUAAUAUUUGCGGAGUAGCUGCAUAUUAGAUAUGGCUUAUUUUUUCCAACAUGUACCUCUCUGACAUGAACUAGGCAUCCAGUAAAAUCAUAUUUGUGUAGGAAUAAACUAUGAAGGUACUUAUUAGCUGACAUACGGCUUUGGUUUCAGCAUGGAUUACGACCACGUUUACAUACAGAAAAUGCCCACGAGCAUAGCUAUUGGUCGCAACGACGCGACGCAGCCUCAAUGACCUGGUGCCUUUGGAGUUGAGUUGGUGGAGCUCACUUUGAAGUAUAAUGAACCACCGGCCAAAAUGAUUCGUGGAAUAUUCAUUUUGACGCUCCUCGCUGUUGCGCACGCUAGUUUUCCGUACGCGGAUUUCGCAGACAACACGAAGGAAGGUUUAAAACAACUGGAAGAUCAAAUAAUAUCUAUGGCUGGUAAUAUUCCUAACAUCACCGACUCUAGAAGACACUACGCCGUUCUGAUAACCCACAUAGCUCUAGUUGCUACUUCACUAGCACAAAAAUUGCAGAUCAAACUAUGACCGCGUAUAUAUAGAAUCUUUGCCUGAAAACAUUGCGAUAGCCCUUACUGACGUAGACAAUGUCGUCUCAGUCGCAGCAACUGCCAUUGAAUCGUUCAACAACCAUACACGAGAGAUUCAAGAACUGUUCGAAACUCUUUGUCCUGAAGCCACGCCGAAUGAAGUUUGCAGUCAACUGAUUAUCCAAGCCGUGCAUGGUGAUCCUCGGAGAUACACAAGGCAAAUUGCGAUUAUAUUGAAUGCUGGUCUGGUAGCUGAAAAAUUAUUUGAUGCAGAUCUCAUAACCGUGGCAAAAAAUCACGAUGAAAUCGACUAUUUACUUGGUGGCGUGUAUGCUCUUAGAGAUUUGAUUUUUUUUUUAGUAGAACUCUUGACUUUCUUUGAUAAGGAACCAUGCUAUGCAUCAUCUUGGGCUGAGAAACAUUAAAAGCUUGUGGAAGAUGAUGUUUUUGGUGUGAUUUUAUUGUUGAUACUCUUAAUUUUUAUAGCAUGUGACAAGAAUUUUUUACAGAAUAUGUAAAAAAAAAACACAUUUUCUACGAUCAAUUUUAUAGUAUCAUUAUGCGAUUUAGAAGUGUCCACGAACCUCUAUAGUAUUCAUAUCCAAGAACUUUGCAGACAGUACAAUGACUAGGCAUCCUACUUCAAUAUCGGGUCCAACAAACAUGUCUACGCAUGUUGAAGAACGAUUUACCUUAGUUUUCGCGACCAACCGCCUGCCUGACGUACAUCUCUGGCGAACUAAAAAUAAAUGCACAACCGAUGACCGCCGGAAAGCCCAGCCUAUCAGCCAGAUUUUAGACAUUGCCUUUAAACUAAGGUCAGGUCAGUAGUUAUUGAUGUCGAUAUAUCCUACUAAUCUUAUAAAUGCGAAAGUUUUUGAGGAUAGAUGUAUAGAUUUAUGUAUGUUUGUUUGUUCCUC